AUUAAUAAUCAAGGGUCGGGCACCCAACAAAUUAAU
rfam:Flavobacteriaceae bacterium HSG9 contig2, whole genome shotgun sequence.